CGCCAACUAGCUAGCCUCCUACACCAAAAACAACAACCCAUUAUAAAUAACCCCAAACACACUACAACCCAAUGUAAAACAAACCAUUUUUCCCCCUUAGUAUGGGAGACAGAAAAGGAAUUACGCGCAAUAGAGAAAGUACCGCAAGGGAACGCUGAAAAAGGAAUGAAAUAACCCAGUAAAGCCUAAAAAAGCAGAGAUUAAAACUCGUACCUUUUGCAUCAUGAUUUAGCUAGAAAAACCCAAGCAGAGAGUCCUUUAGUUUGUUUCCCAGAAACUAAGUGAGCUACUCCAAGACAGCCUAUCAACAGGGCACACCCGUCUCUGUGGCAAAAGAGUGGGAAGAGCUUUGAGUAGAGGUGAUAAACCUACCGAACUUAGUUAUAGCUGGUUGCCUGAGAAACGGAUAAAAGUUCAGCCUCCCAAGUUCUUUUUUGGCCCCUUGCUACUACCUUAAAUAACAACCAGACAUCCAAAGAAAUCGCGAGAGUUAUUCAAAGGAGGUACAGCUCCUUUGAAACAAGAUACAACUUUUCCAGGUGGGUAAAGACCAAAUUAAAUAAAGGUAAAAUGCUCUGGUGGGCUUAAAAGCAGCCACCCUCAUAAAAAGCGUUAAAGCUAAAGCAUACCACUUCCACCUUAAAUAUUGAUAACUCAUCCUUAACCCCCUAACCCUAUCAGGCCACCCCAUGCAAACAUGGGAGUGACCAUGCUAAUAUGAGUAAUAAGAGAAUUACACUUCUCUCCUUGCACACGUGUAAAUCGGAACGGACCCCCCACCGAACCUUAACGGCCCCAAACAAAGAGGGAACUGAAUAACCUAAUAAAUAACUAGAAAACCACCCAGAAAAAUAACCGUUAACCCUACACAGGUGUGCCUAUAAGGAAAGACUAAAAGAAAAAGAAGGAACUCGGCAAACAUAUAUAAGCCUCGCCUGUUUACCAAAAACAUCGCCUCUUGCAAAACUAAAAAAUAAGAGGUCCCGCCUGCCCUGUGACUAUUAAGUUUAACGGCCGCGGUAUUUUGACCGUGCAAAGGUAGCGCAAUCACUUGUCUUUUAAAUGAGGACCUGUAUGAAUGGCAUAACGAGGGCUUAACUGUCUCCUUUUUCAAGUCAAUGAAAUUGAUCUUUCCGUGCAGAAGCGGGAAUAAAAACAUAAGACGAGAAGACCCUGUGGAGCUUAAGACACCAAAACAGCCCAUGUAAAACACCCCUGAUUAUAGGAAUAAACUAAAAGAGCCCUGUCCUAUAUGUCUUAGGUUGGGGCGACCGCGGGGAAACAAAAAACCCCCACGUGGAAUGGGAAAUUUCUCUACUCACCUCCUAAAAAUUAGAGCUUCCGCUCUAACAAACAGAAUAUCUGACCAACAAUGAUCCGGCAACGCCGAUCAACGGACCAAGUUACCCCAGGGAUAACAGCGCAAUCCCCUUUUAGAGCCCAUAUCGACAAGGGGGUUUACGACCUCGAUGUUGGAUCAGGACAUCCUAAUGGUGCAGCCGCUAUUAAGGGUUCGUUUGUUCAACGAUUAAAGUCCUACGUGAUCUGAGUUCAGACCGGAGCAAUCCAGGUCAGUUUCUAUCUAUGAUAUGAUCUUUUCUAGUACGAAAGGAUUGAAAAGAAGAGGCCCAUGCUUAAAGUAUGCUUCAUCCCCAACUAAUGAAAACAACUAAAUUAGGCAAAAGGACAUAUCCCCACUAGCCCGAAGAAUAACGGCAU
rnacentral:rRNA from 1 species